CACAGAGUUUUUCUAAAUUUGUUUAACCUUUGUGAAGCAGUUCUAAAUAUAAUAAUUGUUCUCACAUGGUUUUUCUAAUCUUGCUAUAAGCUUUGUGAGGAAGUUCUAAACUUGAUAAUUAACUCUCAUAAAUGCUUUCUAAUUCCGCUGCAACAGAAUUCUGAUUUUUGUUUUUGAAAGUUAAAUUUUUAGAAAAUCCAAUUCACCCCCCUCUUGGGUUGUGCCAUGCAUAAACAUGACCCAUAAUAACUUCAGUUGGUUGAGUGUCUGGCACCAUCGGAGGCACCUCUUUCCCCAAGCUCUAUGCGACAACUUUCUUUUUCAUGGCCUCGGCAACUUUAGCCAACUUAGAACCCUUUGACUUCUUUGGAACCAUAUCUGCAUCAAAGAAAAAGAAAAAAAAGGAAAAUUAAAGAAUGUUAGUAUAAGGACAAUACUUAAAACAAAUGAAAGCAGUAUAUACCAGAAAUGAAAGACUGGGGUCCUAUGGGUCCACUAUAAGGUCGAACUUGGUAGCCCUCGGCAAUAAUUUGCUUCAAAUUCACCGUUCUCAACCCGCUGGACUUUAUCAAUUCUGCCCACAUCAAAUCAUCUGAGGUAGGCGAAGUAGG
rnacentral:lncRNA from 1 species